GACGAACGCUGGCGGCGUGCCUAAUACAUGCAAGUAGAACGCAGUUGCGAACGGGUGAGUAACGCGUAGGUAACUGCCUCAUAGCGGGGGAUAACUAUUGGCAACGAUAGCUAAUACCGCAUACUGUGAGAUGGACCUGCGUUGUAUUAGCUAGUUGGUGAGGUAAAGGCUCACCAGGGCGACGAUACAUAGCCGCCCUGAGAGGGUGAUCGGCCAGACUGGGACUGAGACACGGCCCAUACUCCUACGGGAGGCAGCAGUAGGGAAGCGUCGGAAAUGGGCGAAAGCCUGAUCCAGCCAUGCCGCGUGUGUGAAGAAGGUCUUCGGAUUGUAAAGCACUUUAAGUUGGGAGGCGUUACCAACAGAAUAAGCACCGGCUAACUUCGUGCCAGCAACCGCGGUAAUAC
rnacentral:rRNA from 1 species